rnacentral:rRNA from 1 species
GAGUUUGAUCGUGGCUCAGAUUGAACGCUGGCGGCAUGCCUUACACAUGCAAGUCGAACGGCAGCAUGAUCUAGCUUGCUAGAUUGAUGGCGAGUGGCGAACGGGUGGAGUAAUACAUACGGACGUGCCCUGUAGUGGGGGAUAACUAGUCGAAAGAUUAGCUAAUACCGCAUACGACCUGAGGGUGAAAGUGGGGGACCGCAAGGCCUCAUGCUAUAGGAGCGGCCGAUGUCUGAUUAGCUAGUUGGUGGGGGAAAGGCCCACCAAGGCGACGAUCAGUAGCUGGUCUGAGAGGACGAUCAGCCACACUGGGACUGAGACACGGCCCAGACUCCUACGGGAGGCAGCAGUGGGGAAUUUUGGACAAUGGGCGAAAGCCUGAUCCAGCAAUGCCGCGUGUGUGAAGAAGGCCU